UGGACAUGGGGGCACCUGNAUCCAGCAAUGCCGCGUGUGUGAAGAAGGCCUUCGGGUUGUAAAGCACUUUUGUCAGGAACGAAACGGUGGGGGCUAAUACCUCCUGCUAAUGACGGUACCUGAAGAAUAAGCACCGGCUAACUACGUGCCAGCAGCCGCGGUAAUACGUAGGGUGCGAGCGUUAAUCGGAAUUACUGGGCGUAAAGCGUGCGCAGGCGGUUGUGCAAGACAGAUGUGAAAUCCCCGGGCUUAACCUGGGAAUGGCAUUUGUGACUGCACGGCUAGAGUGUGUCAGAGGGGGGUAGAAUUCCACGUGUAGCAGUGAAAUGCGUAGAUAUGUGGAGGAAUACCGAUGGCGAAGGCAGCCCCCUGGGAUAACACUGACGCUCAGGCACGAAAGCGUGGGGAGCAAACAGGAUUAGAUACCCUGGUAGUCCACGCCCUAAACGAUGUCAACUAGUUGUCGGGUCUUAAUUGACUUGGUAACGCAGCUAACGCGUGAAGUUGACCGCCUGGGGAGUACGGUCGCAAGAUUAAAACUCAAAGGAAUUGACGGGGACCCGCACAAGCGGUGGAUGAUGUGGAUUAAUUCGAUGCAACGCGAAAAACCUUACCUACCCUUGACNG
rnacentral:rRNA from 1 species